rnacentral:misc_RNA from 1 species
CUAAGGAGCAUCUGCAUUACUCGGUUCGAAGAGUCGAACUCGGGGAUGCCAGAGCCGUUCAUGUUCUCGUAUGUAGAACUGCGGUGCUCAUGGGUGGAACACUGACAACUUUCAUCGCAUACGAGCUCGGCAAAGUCUGAGAUCGCGAUGGGUAUACCGACACACUAUUGGGUCCUGAAAGAACACGCGAGUGUCUUUCAAGGCGAAAGCAAACGAUCCGCUCGGAUCUUCGUUAGUACCGCAGAGCUUGCUCUGGCCGGCUUCGAAUCAGGGUUUGAGUGGGUGUGUUGUUUGAGAACUGCACAGUGGACGCGAGCAUCUUUGUUAGUAAGUGUUUAAGAGCGUAC